rnacentral:lncRNA from 1 species
CCUUCCGUUCUCCCUUUCUCGUCCCAUCUCCUUCCUUCCAUUUCCCUCCAUCUUCCUUUCUUUGAUCUCCUUUGAUUCGAUGAGACUUUGAUUCUCCUCCCCAGCUCUGCCCCUUUCCUUCCUUCUGCCCCAGCCUGACCCUGUCUACACCUCUCACCACAUGCUUCCUCUCCAGAGGGAAGCCCUCAGAAUCCGCCCUGGCCAUCAACACCUUCCCCAGCUGUGGCUCCAGGACCUCAGAGACCACUGUCACCUUGCCCUUGGACCCAGAGAGGCAAACUGCCAUGAGGAGGUCCCUGGAUGACCCAGGAGGUGGCCAGGGGGACUGAAGUGGUCUCCUUGGCCUCAGCCCUAUUAUCUUUGGGAUCGAAGAAUGCCCUCCGACCCUCCCGGUGGAGGGUGGUGGGCAGAGGCAUGAAGGGUCAGGGCUCCGGGGCUCUCCCCCAGCAAUCCCUGAGCAGGUCCAUGUGGAAUAAGGCUGCCCCAGUGAGGAGGCGCGCUGCAAAGAGGUGUCUGCAGGGCAGACGGCGGGCGGCAUGGAUUGAGCAGCUGCAGCGUGUCAGGGCCCCAUCCAGGAAGAAGUCCGAGGUGCCGUCCUUAAGGGCAAAACCGGCUCCAGUCCAGUGGAAACCCCGGGUCCCAUGCUGCCUAGCAAAGGCCAACUCCUCGGCCACCAGGUCUGCCAGCUCUGGCCCGCAGGCUGCUCGGAAUUUGGCCAGGGGUUCCCAGUCCACCUCCUCCUCUCCUGGGGGCCGGCAAAGCCUCUUUGGUUCCCUGGGGCCAUCUUCGCCUCCUUCCUGCAGGCCGUCACCUGCAGCCAGGUGUUCGCUCCUCACCACUGCCCAUUCUGGGCUGCCUUCCAAUACAGUCCCCACCGGGGUGCCACACACGACUCCAUUCCCCAGCCCUAGACACCGCUUCCCCUCUCCAUUCGCCCUCUUCCCACAGACCUUCUCCAUCUCCUUCCAGCUUGACCUUUUCCCUGGACCAAACGAUAUCCUCCAGGCCUUCUGUUCCCACCUCG